rnacentral:lncRNA from 12 species
CUUUGAAGCCCUUAGCAUGUGUCUCGAAGCAGUAAAGCUGUAUAGCAAACAACUUCAAAAUCUCAGAUGCUCAAAAUAGCAAAUAUUUAUUUUCCCCAUUUACAGAUCAUGGACCAGCUGUCACUCUGCUGGACUCAGCUAGGCUAUUUUGGUCUGUAGAAAGCUGGUCAGAGUCAAAUCUGCUCCAUGUGUCUUCAUCGUUCUGAGACCACUAGGACUUAAGACCCAGGGCCUGCGUGUGAUCUUCAUAUGGUAGUCACAAGGAAGCAGAUAUUUUGAAGAUGGUCAGGAAUCCAGCAAUCCUUUGAUCUUCACAGCUAUACCUUACAAUGACUCCUUUGACUUGUCCUUGGGAUCUGCAUUGGACACUACAGGAUUCAAAGCCAUGGUUCUCACACCACUUGUAUCAGAAUCAGCUGGAUUCCUGGGCCUCAACUCACACUCACUGAAUCAUCCGUUGGUAAGGCCAAGACAUUUGAACUUCUACAGACAAGUUAUAUAGCUAUAUGUAUGC